AGGAACGAGUCUCCCUCUCUUUCUUUCUCUUUCUCUUUAGAGUCUCUUGUAGCCGCGUACCAGUCCCACGUUACUGCCAUGUUGUUGCUGAAGCGAUAGGCUCUACAAACCCCGUGAAAUUAGCAUCGGUGGAUUGUAAAGGUAGAGCGAAAGGGAAAGAAGAGCGGCGCACGUUCCAAGCUUCGAUGCAACCUGACAAGUGACAGUGUCCUGUGUGUGUGUGUGUGUGUGUGUGUGUGUGUGAGAGAGAGAGAGAGAGGGAAAAGAUUCAAGAAUGAAUGGUCCAAGAGGAUAGAAACAUGUACAGAAGACAUCGUAUCCGUUCGGAUUUAAUAAGCGCGACCCAUAAUCGUGGUAUUUACGAGCGACACCAGAACUCUCACCGCGAAAUUAAAUUAUUGUCGUAAAAAAAGUUAGUCGACGAUCCUGUUGGUGCUGACGAUCUCAAUCUCAAUGUUUGAAACUUUGUUAUCAACGGCGACAUCGAGUUGUAAAGAACGUAUUGAAUUUUCAAAUUCGAAGAGAAAUGAAUUGGAGGAACUUACAUGUGAAAUUUUCUUUUAUUUUUGUUAUUUUUCAUAAAUAUCUUUAUUAUUACAAUCGAUGCUGACAUUGAAAGCUUGCAAAAAUUUGAUUAGCUUUCGCGAGAAGAAGAAGAAAAAAAAAUAAAUUGUAUAUAUCUAAAUAUAUCUACAUGUGUAUAUAAGUUACUACUAUUAGCUUAUUCGCUAACGAAGCGAUUCGCGAUACGUUUUCCGGUUCUCCGUCGAAGAACGUUGAAAUUUAUGUCGCAUAAAUUCGAGAUUAUAACUUGCCUUGGUGACUCCGUACCUAUUUCCGAUGGCAUUUAAAUUUCAUUCGGUAGAAGAAAUUGAUAAUCGACGAAAUACAAGUCAUUGGAUUAUGAUAAUGAAUAGUAAUAUUUUAAUUGAAAAAAAAAGAAAGCGAUCUAGAAAUGAUUUUGUAAAAUAAAAAGAAAAAAGAAUACAUCGGGAGAAAAUUCAAUAGUCGAUCGAAUCGUUGAGGAUACUUGAGAAGUGAAGACAGAGUAAAAACUUAUACUUGCUAGAGUUCGUGGACGUUUCUCUUUCACAUAAGACGCUCGACUAGUGACUUUUUUGCUAAGGGUGAGAAACUAGAAAGAGAGAAAGAAAGAGAAAGAGAGACACACAGAGAGAGAUAGAGAGAGAGAGAGAGAGAGAGAAAGAGAGGGAUAGAGAGAUAAAAAGAGAGAGAAAGGAAGCGAAGGAAAAAGGAAAAAAAAUGGGGUAGAGUGAGAGAUUAGGUUAUACGUUUUCCAGGAGAGUCGGCGUUGAAACAAUGAACCGACCAACCGGCGUGGUUCGUGCAAAUCUCCAAGCUUAGCGCCUCCAUUGUCACCCCCAACGUUCCUCCAACUACCCUCGUUGCGCUGCGGAAGGGUGCUCCGCGGAUUUAGACGGUCCUGUCGCCAUAGCAACUGCAGGCGGCGCUUACCUCUCGAACUUGCUUGAACCGUAUUUGGACGCUAGAAGCCACGAUACUUUCGACGACCAAUUUUCAAGGACGAUCACGAUGAAUUUGUCGUAAAAUGUUCAAUGAUCCUUCAGGAAAAUUUAUUCUUAUAGAAAAUCUUGACGAGGUUAAGAAGCCGAACGAAAGAUCAUGUGAUUAUCAAUUAGUUUCAAGAAAUAAUAGAUAAUCUCAUAUAUUAAUUAAAAAAUUUGUUAAAAUUUUGUCAAAAAAGUACGAACUUUGGAAUGAAUAAUUGUAUCGAGUGUCAAGAUGUCCAACGAAAAUGAUUCGUAAAAAACUCUUUGGAGUAACCCUCGGGAUAAAGAAGAGAAAAUAGACUUCGAAAAAAGUCGAGCCUUUUGUCUGGCAAAUGGAGACGUUUUCGGAACAUUCAUUCGUCCGUCGUCCGACAGGAUGAAACGCCGAGAAGGUUAUUUUUUCCAUUUGCCCUCGAAGUAACCUAUCCUGACCCUUGCUCUUGGCAACCCUCUUCCAACUUUUAGGAAUUUUACGCGUUUAUCAUGCCCUCGGAAACAACCGUAAAGCUCGACGUGUUUUUCCGUUUCAUUUUCAAACUUUCCUCACCUCGAUGGAAUAAUUUCGGUGAUCCAAGAAAAUCUUAGGGGAAUCUCGGCGUAGAUGAAUUCUAAAAUCUGAAAACAUUUAUCUUUUAUAGGCCAUAUACGGGAAAAGUCUAUCAUUCUUAAAAUGUUGGCGAUCAUGAUCGAACGUAUUUCUACCUUCAUAAAAUUUAGUGAAAAAGAAUAAAAAAGGAAUACUUAGAUGAAUUACAUCAGAAGGUAAUCAAAGGUCGCAAAUCACCGAAACCGUAGUCCAGGCUUGACGUUAAAAUCCGUGCAGAUAAGGGCGGUAGCCUCGCCCGCGGCUUGCAAUUCCCUAAAAAGCUCUGGUUUUACGGUAAAAAGAAGUGAAUGGCCGAAAAAUGGGAAAAAUGUUUCGCAGAUAGAAGCAAACUGCGGUCAAGCGUAUUUACUUCACUGCCAUUCUACUCUUUCCUCUAGAAAUUCUCCGAAAUGAAAUUAGCCUAGAAAGCCGUCCACGAUUGUAACUACCUCGCGUGCUAUCUAUGCGUAAACUUUUCCUUUAUUUUUAUCCGAAACGAAAGUUCAAAUUUAUUUUUGCCUACAUUAUAGAAAAGAAAAUAAAAUCUUAAGUGAACCCUGUCCAUAACGUAUUAAUUAAUAGAAAUGAUAGUAGAUAAUUGACGAUUAGUGAUAAUUAAUGCGGAAGAAACUAAUAAAGAGUCUCGGAAGUAUUUAAAACUUAACUGUCAGGUUCGUUGGAAUAAUGUAGGUGAAAGAAUAUAAAAAGAAGGUCGGUGGUCAAGUAUAGUAAUCAAGUGUGCAAGAGAGAGAAAGAGAGAGAGAGAGAGAGAAAGGAAAAAAGAAUAGAAAAGUAGAAAACGUAGACCCCGCAGCAGACAAGCGGCACUGGAGCCAGGAGUUGCUGCCAAAUGAAAUUAUCCUUCGAAAGCACCAGCAAUCUCGAGGGUUAAUUCCGCGAGAGAGGGCUGGUGGAAGAGGCCCACGCUGUUUGUUAUCGCGCAACAUCGGUAUCACUAGCGGGCAACGUUGCCUCAGGCUGACCAUAAUUUAAUACCGGCCACUAAUACGUUCCCUCCAUCGUUCUCUUGACCAGAUAAGAGUACCACCCCUUCGUUCGUUCUACUUGCGUUCACGGGGUGAGUGCAUGUAUAGUGAUCUCUCGACGUUCGAAGGUAACCACAUUUACUCGUCUAACACGAUCGACUAUCAUUUGUUUCACAGCUUAAUGGUAAUUGGUAACGUGAUGGAUUCCAUCAUAAUAUCAGCUUCAGGUAGGACCGAUGAUGCGUAGUUCACUGACUUGAUUUGGAUUUGAUAUUCAAGUUUCUAUUUUCUUUGCGAAUAUAUGAUGUUUCAUCUGUUUGUCUACGUUUGUAUGACAAACAAUAUAGAAAAGCUCAAAGAAAUGUAUCCUUUUAAUUUGGAGCAUGAUAAAGACUAAAGGUAUAAGGGACAUCUUAAGACCCAAGGGAAAGGUGGAUCUACGUUGUUCUGUUGAGACACUGGGGUUAUGAAAAAAGAGAAACGAAGUGGAAGCAAAGUGGAGCGAGGUACAUUCAUCAUAAGUUAUUAAACAAGGUAACAAAAGGCCACGGUGACUACGGAGGGUGCGCGAAAAAAAAAGAAAGAAGAAAGAAGAACGAGAAACGGACGGAAGAAGAUAGAAUCGGCUAACCGGUAGACUUUCUGCGAUGAUAGAUGGCCAGAAGGAUUAAGAUAUUCUUCGACUCUCGACGCCCUUCCUUUUCUCGGAAAUGUUGUUCCGGAAUAAAGAAGACGGUAGAUAGAGUAAAAAAUUUUUGUAGAAGAUAAAUACAAAAGUAUUGUAUCACGUUUAUCGAAAUAUUUGUUGGAAAUAUUUGAUCGACAUUUAAACAAGUUCGUUCAACAGUAGAUAAAUGAAGAUAGAUUUCUUAAUUUUCGAUCAAAUUAUGUUUUAUGCAUUUAUGCAUGUAGAAAAACAAAAUUCCUAAUAUUAUAUGUAGAUUAAUUAUUUUUGGAAUCCAGUUUAUAAUGUAACAAAAAAAAAAAAGGAAAGGAAAAGAAAUCUUUAAAGGAGUAGAAUUAAACUAAAAAAAAAAAAAAAAAAAUAGUCAGGAUAAAACGAUUCUUUAUCAUUAAUUUGGUAUGUUACAAUAUAUGAACAAUUUAUGAAAAAGAAUAAAAAUAUUAUGUUACAUUAUAAAUACCCAUUCACAUGUCAAUUUCGUUAUGAAACUUGUCGAAUCAAAAGAGUUCCGAAGAAGAAGUGGUGGUCGAUGAUUAACGCGACUUUUGUAGGCACAUUGAAGAGGGAUAUUCGUGUUUUCGGAUUCGAGGGAUGGGUUGGCAAAAGUUGGAGCUCGAACAAGAACGUGCCUUGCUGGCACACUAUCAUCCUACCAUAGCACAACACAACCCUCUAUUUUCGAUUCUCUUCACCCUCUACGUCCUACCUAUACUCCUCUUUCUAUCUGCAAUCCUCCGACGCGGCACCUACCCUCUCGUACCUGUAACAUCAAUUAAAAUUCUCGUGGUCGAUGCGCCGCUGUUUCGUGCGAUCGUACGCCGUUUUUAAUUGGAUUAGAGCGAGACAGCUAGAGGGAGAGUACCCGUGGAUGCCAACCGGUGGAUGAAGAGGAAGAGAUAGAGGAGGAAGGAGAAACGAGCUGAGGGUGCGAGAUUACUGAAAGGGGUUCGUUGGAUAUUCGAACGAGAGGGUUGAUAGUAAAAGAGAAAGAGAGAGAGAGAGAGAGAGAGAGAGAGAGAGAGAGAAAGAGGAAAAGAGAUAGAUAGAAAGAUGAUCGUCACAGACGCACUAGAUAGGCACAUAAGCACGCAAUGAAUGUAAGCACGUGUGUAUUCGAGAUUGUACGAGAUUUGUAAGCAACUUUGGAGAUCUUGGCAGACAAGCUAGGUAACUUUGAUGAAGACACGUUGUAAGAAUUUAGUUGAGAAGUAACUUUGUAGAAGAUCCGGCAUCUUCGUUUACUUGUCAGCUAUUGUCGAUGUCAGAACGAGAGAAGCAUAUCGAAGAAACGUGCCAGUACUAAGAUUAAUAUUAAACGAUGUGCUCUAAUUGGCCGGGCAAUUAUGCGGUGUUAAUUAAACAUUAGGAGUGGGCCGGUCCAGCCGGAUAAUGCAAACAUGGACGAGCCAUCUAGCGAAACCUUUCUAAAAUUUACCUUGAUCCUCUUACGCCAUCUACUUGCUAGAUUAUCAUGUUAACGAUUAAAUAAUGAAAAAUUUGUCACUAAGUACUAUUUCGGCUACAUUUCAGAAUUCCUCCUGAUCAAGAGUUUAUGUUAACUCUGUGAAUAUAAAUCGCUUAAUUAUUUUUAGGAAAAUAUCAUUUUACUUACCGUUAUUAACAGGGAUGGGAAAAUAAAUAACACACCUCAACUAUUAAUUUGUAAUUUAUGGUACUGGACGACGAAAGGAGACGCCUUCAUUUUUACAAAAGAAACAUUUUAUUACAUUCAGCUACGAUCAUAAUAUAAUAAUAUAUGCAGUGCAAAGUGACAUAUAUAACAACGUAUGGUUCAAUUUAAAAAAGAAAAAUUGCCGUUUAAUGCCAGUUUUCGUUUUUCGAAACUGUUCGAAUAUUUUCGGCAUCCUUGAUUUCUUCCCUCGAUGAGAAGUUUUCUAAGUAAACGAAAAAAUAGAAAAAGAUAUAAAAUAAAUAUAAAGUUGAUGAAAGUAAAUGGCAGUCAGCUUAUUAUUAUUAUAGGUAACAUAAACAUUUUCCUUUGCCCUGAUAUGUCAGAAAUCGGUGAAUACGAUAAAAGACUUUGCCACGGACCGGAUACGCAAUAAGUAUAAAUAUUAUAUGAGUAACGUGCUCUUUAAUUACAUUUAUUACUGUUAACAUAUUACUGUUGAUAUAUUGCGUGUACGUCAUUUUAUGAAUCAUAUAAUUUUGUUUUGUUAAGGUUGAAUAUCUCGUCGUUUCAUAGAAUCAAUAAUUUAAAUUUAUUUCAGUUACCAUAAUUAUUAGUUAAAGAACGCUAUACCAACGUACACACAUAUUCUAAUAAUAAUGGAAACGUGUCAGUGGCAAU